GAUGAACGCUGGCGGCGUGCCUAAUACAUGCAAGUCGAGCGAACGGACGAGAAGCUUGCUUCUCUGAUGUUAGCGGCGGACGGGUGAGUAACACGUGGAUAACCUACCUAUAAGACUGGGAUAACUUCGGGAAACCGGAGCUAAUACCGGAUAAUAUUUUGAACCGCAUGGUUCAAAAGUGAAAGACGGUCUUGCUGUCACUUAUAGAUGGAUCCGCGCUGCAUUAGCUAGUUGGUAAGGUAACGGCUUACCAAGGCAACGAUGCAUAGCCGACCUGAGAGGGUGCUGGGCCACACAGGAACGGACCCAGGGUCCACACUCCGAGGGGGGGCAGAGGUGGGAAUUCUCCCGAAAGGGGCGAAAGCCUGACGGAGCACCGCGGGGGGGGUGAUGAGGGUUUUCGGAUCUAAAACCUUUGUAUUAAGGAAAAAAAAUUUGUGAAAGUACCUGUGCACAUCUGGAGGGUACCAAACGAGAAAGCCGCGGCUAACUCCGG
rnacentral:rRNA from 1 species